rnacentral:rRNA from 1 species
AGGACGAACGCUGGCGGCGUGCCUAAUACAUGCAAGUAGAACGCUGAAGGAGGAGCUUGCUCUUCUGGAUGAGUUGCGAACGGGUGAGUAACGCGUAGGUAACCUGCCUGGUAGCGGGGGAUAACUAUUGGAAACGAUAGCUAAUACCGCAUAAGAGUAGAUGUUGCAUGACAGUUUGCUUAAAAGGUGCAAUUGCAUCACUACCAGAUGGACCUGCGUUGUAUUAGCUAGUUGGUGAGGUAA